UAGAGCUGCGUUUGAGUAAACGCAGCUCCAGAUAUGUUCAAGCUGCGUUUUAGCAAACGCAGCUCUAGGCUUGCUAUAAAUUGGAAAAAACCCUAAAUUGAAAAACACAAUUGAACCCAUUUCAACCUAGCUCACUCUCAACCUAGCUCCUGAUCCCUAAUCUCGCCGUCGUGCUCUCAACCUCACGCCUCCCUCAUCAAUCGAAACAAAAAUAGGUCUGAAAUCACUGCCUGAUGAGAUGCGCGAUCUCUCGUCUUUACAAAUACUGGAGAUUAGGCGUUGUCCCGAGUUACAGAGAAGAUGCGAAAAGGAAACCGGUCAGGAUUGGGACAAGAUCGCACAUAUCACUGAGGUUUAUAUAGUGGGUGAACCUAUGGAGUGGCAAUAUGCCCCGCCUGAAUACUUUUAGGAUUUUGGAUGGUGGAGUACGAAAGGUACUUGGCUACACUCUCUAUAAUCAAAGGUUAUUGAAUAUUUUGAAUAAAAUUUCAUUCCAUAUAUUUGAUUCACACAUUAAGAAGGACCCAAAAGGAAAAAAGUAAUUAAAAUGAAAGAUGCAUAUAUCCCUAUUUCCUUCAAUAAACUUUGAAUAGCUGGAAGAGGGUUAUUCAAAUGUGAAUUCCUUUCCUCUUCUUCUUUGUUUUUCUUGUAUUAUGACGAUUUCUCACUUGGUUUGAUCCUAGAUGCAGAACAAAUUGGAAGCACAAAACAAGACUAGGCGUAAAUAUCUGAGCCUAUUCAAAACCUUUAUAAAGAACAUUUUUUCUUUAUUAUGAUCUUAUUUUCUACCAUAGGUUAAUGGUCUACAGCUUAACAUCAAAUUUUUUUCUGUGGCUGGAAGCAUACACAGUGUUAGUGGAAUUUCUUUGUACAUUGUGUUAUGUUCCCAUUGCUUGCUGUUACAAACUUGGGAAAAAUAUUUUUUUGGCCAUUUUGUCUCA